rnacentral:rRNA from 1 species
AGUGAACGCUGGCGGUAGGCCUAACACAUGCAAGUCGAACGGCAGCACAGUAAGAGCUUGCUCUUACGGGUGGCGAGUGGCGGACGGGUGAGGAAUACAUCGGAAUCUACUUUUUCGUGGGGGAUAACGUAGGGAAACUUACGCUAAUACCGCAUACGACCUACGGGUGAAAGCAGGGGAUCUUCGGACCUUGCGCGAUUGAAUGAGCCGAUGUCGGAUUAGCUAGUUGGCGGGGUAAAGGCCCACCAAGGCGACGAUCCGUAGCUGGUCUGAGAGGUUGAUCAGCCACACUGGAACUGAGACACGGUCCAGACUCCUACGGGAGGCAGCAGUGGGGAAUAUUGGACAAUGGGCGCAAGCCUGAUCCAGCCAUACCGCGUGGGUGAAGAAAGCCUUCGGGUUGUAAAGCCCUUUUGUUGGGAAAGAAAAGCAGCAGGUUAAUACCCCGCUGUUCUGACGGUACCCAAAGAAUAAGCACCGGCUAACUUCGUG